CCUUAAUUACUUAGCAUUAAGCAGUGCAAGUACUGUGUCCACUGAAAGAAUGACGACUUCCGUGCUCUAUUUGAACAGUAUCCCCUGGAAUAUCGUGCUCGUGGACGUCCGUAACGAAUAUUGCAACAUAAAUCACUCGCAGCGACGAUACAUCUACACGAGCAACGCGGUUUCCGUCACGCAGGUCACGAAAAACCGAAAAGUUUAUUUAUCAAAACUGUUACAGCGGGAUCCGUGGACGGGCACUAUUAUUUAAAGGUGGAAUUGCGAGGGAUUCGACUCAAGACAUCAUGGACGUCAAACUGAACUUACUGCUCCUGUUCGUUUCUUUGAUUCUGUUGUCCUGGAAUCACGUAGCAUUCGCGCGCUAUGAGCCACCAGCCUGCAGGAUUAUAACGAAGAACCAUUGUCACAGCAUGAAGUACAAAAAUAUGUGUCCGAGCGUGUGUGGUAGUGGGUAAAUCGGAGCUUCUCGAGAACAAUGUCUACAGAAACAAUACUACAUCUGUUGGCGAUCAUUGUAGUCGCGUCACAUUCGAAAAGAAAUUGAUGCAGUAUUGAAGCUUCCAGCAAUUAUUUCCCUCCCCUCCCCGUCUUGGUACAAGUACAAUUGAAAUUAAAUAACAAUUACUUACAAGUAUAAUUGAAAUUAAAUAAAAACUACUCACAAAAAAAAGUAUAUAAUUGAAGUGAAAUACGAAUUACUCACAAGUAUAAUUGAAAUUAAAUAAAAAUUACUUACAAGCAUAAUUGAAAUUAAAUAAAACUUAACGUCGACGCGCAGUUUUCCAACGCGCUCUCUCGGCAAUUAACAACACAUAUUCCGAAAUGGUUAAACGCGACUGUAAUCGACCGGCCGUCGUUCAAUGCGGCCAAUUUACGCGUAUCUGUUUGCGCGAUAGCAGUUCGCUAGACUUUAAUAUAUAAAAGCGGGAUCCGUGGACGGGCACUGUUAUUUAAAGGUGGAAUUGCGAGAGAUUCGACUCAAGACAUCAUGGACGUCAAACUGAACUUACUGCUCCUGUUCGUUUCUUUGAUUCUGUUGUCCUGGAAUCACGUAGCAUUCGCGAACAAUGAGCCACCAGCCUGCAGGAUUAUAACGAAGAACCAUUGUUACAACAAGAAGUACAAAAAUAUGUGUCCGAGCGUGUGUGGUAGUGGGUAAAUCGGAGCUUCUCGAGAACAAUGUCUACAGAAACAAUACUACAUCUGUUGGCGAUCAUUGUAGUCGCGUCACAUUCGAAAAUAAAUUGAUGCAGUAUUGAA